rnacentral:lncRNA from 1 species
CAGGCCAGCUUCACAAGCGUGCAACCCCCCCGCAGUCACAGGGCCUCGGCGCAGAAGGGCCUGUGCUGGGUUGGACGCUCUGCUGAAGCUGUCGUGAGGCUCUUCUUCCCAUGGGUGCAGCCUCACGGUGAGCAGCACAGCGUAUCCCCUUCCGUUCUGCAGCGAGUCAUUAGCUGGUGAUGGAAAUGCUGAGUAGCCUUUGAACAUGGGCCCUGCAGAUUAUGUUGCUGGAAUUAAUUGUGUUCCUCCAUUUUCAAGCCUUCUGUCCUCCAACAAUGGGAGCUCUGGGACUACGGGACACGACCUGCCUCUGUCACUCCUGUGUCCCCAGUGUUGGCAAACAAAGUGUUCAAAAAUACUUGAGGAGGCCGAGCACAUGGGAGAAGCUGGAUCUGGGCCCUGUGGCCACCCUCCCUGCCCCCGGCUGAGGGGCUGGAGGGAGGAAUGUCCUCAGCCCCCACCCCCACCCCGUGUCAGGGGUGAGUGGCUCUGGUCAUCAGCCGUGCUGCCCCCUCCCCACGGCUGGGGGAACAUUCUUCCAAACUCCUCAUGCGUAUGGAACGGCAAGGGUGGCUUUGCGGUCUCGGGGCCUCUCCUGCAGCCCUCCAUAUGCUGUGGCAGCUGGACGGGCGGCGGUGCCCAGAUGUCCUAAGAUGAGGCUGGCCCCGCGGGGUGAGGGACUGCUGCAUUUCUGAGCCCGGCGGCUGGACCCAGACCUUCCCCUGGCGUUACUUCCGGCCAGUUCAUCUGCCCUCCCGUGGGACCCUGGCAGGGGGCCAGCUGUGGCUCUCAGCGUCUGGCCAGCCAGCAGCUCAGGAAGCCCGUGAGCACCCGGAAAAGGUCACUGGGACAAAAGCACUUGAAGUGGGACCCAAAUUUCAGAGAGACCGGGAACUGGGGCUUCAUCUUAGAAAAUGAAAGUCAAACUGAUAAGGAUGAGCUUAUUUCUUCCCCCAUCACGGCCGGUGGCGCCCCUCCCCAGUGGAGGGCAGCUCCUGGGCUCCCUCACAUUGUGCCGCUUGGUCUGGAUGGGAGCUGGUGACAGGGUGGGUCCCGUUGGUGGAACCCACCAGGCGGUGCAGCCAGGACUGGUGCGCGUCUCUGUGGAAUCUCUAGAAUCCCUAAUUUCAGGAACCAUGAAUCGUCCCACAGGUCGCUGUCGGCAGCCCUGAGCUUACUAGGGGCUUCAGCGCGAGGAGCGGUGUCCCCACUGCUGGGCUGGUUGGCCCCGGGAGGAGGGUCCGUGAUCCUCCAGAGAGGACAGGCAUGGCACGUCCCAGGCGGUGCUUCCCCUGGGACGUGGUUUUAUCAGCAACAUGAAGCACGUGGAAGGGCAAGGACACGGCGCAUGGUCCAGGUGCCCAAACCAAAGCUCGAGCUGCCCGCGCUGCCGCCCCUCCCGGGUCAUCCAGAGCCCCCUCCGAGACUCAGCUCCCCUCAGUCUGCUUCUGCCCUCCCACCACCCCACCCGAGCAGCCCCCAAAGACCCCUGUCCAAACCUCCAGAGCUUUGGACACAGUCCCCUACCUGGCAAAGGGGACCCUGCAGGUGUGGUUAACCAUCUUGAGGUGGGAAGGGUGUACCCCAGGAGAGGAGGGAGGAGGGUCAGAGAGACGAUGGGGGAGGAGGGGAAAGAAGAGCCGGAGGGGCUGGCACGGAGGGAGCCUGGGUCACCCAGCCCCUGAAAUUGUUAGGCGGUUGGUGGUGGUGACGAAGCGGCAGCCAAGAGCAAGGAAUGCAGGCCACUUCCAGACGCAGGGAAAGACGGAGAUGGACCGUCCCUGAGCCUCCAGGGAAAACACAGCCUUGAGGACCGUGACUUUGAGACCUCUGACUCCCGGGACUGAAAGAGCUUAUGGUUGUCGUAGGCGCUGCAUUGGUUACAGCAACGAUCGAUCGGAAACAGCAGCCAGAGGACAUUUCCUCUCCCCCGUGGGCCUGAAGGGCCCGCCUGGCUGGCUUGCCCCACAGUCCUCCACAGAGAAGCCAGAGGCGGUGCGUGAAGAACGACCGGGGUCAGCGCUCCUUCCUUCUGCAGCCCUCCCCAGCCCUUCAGAUAUGGUCUGUCUCCUGAGGGCUUAUGUGGGAAGCUGGGUCCCCAGGCUGGUGAUGUUAGGUGGUGACAGGAUCCUCUCUAGUCCCACCAAGUGAUCUCUCCUUCUCAAAAGCAAUGCUGCCAUUAUGAUGCCACCCACUGUGAGGUCCUCACCGGAACUAAGAGCUAAGGAAGCCUUUUUUUUAAAAAAUAAAGUAUUAAGC